AGGCCAUGAUGUGGACAUCUCCUUUGAAACUCUUUGAAUCUUUCCCAUAUUUCAUAUAACUUUCCUUCGUGUUGAGUAAAACCUGUAAUAGCCAUAUGAAAUU